UGGGAUUUAAGAGUGAAGCAGUUUGUGCAC
rnacentral:piRNA from 1 species